AUUGAACGCUGGCGGCAGGCCUAACACAUGCAAGUCGAGCGAGCGGCGGACGGGUGAGUAAUGUCUGGGAAACUGCCUGAUGGAGGGGGAUAACUACUGGAAACGGUAGCUAAUACCGCAUACCAUCAGAUGUGCCCAGAUGGGAUUAGCUAGUAGGUGGGGUAAUGGCUCACCUAGGCGACGAUCCCUAGCUGGUCUGAGAGGAUGACCAGAAAAACUGGAACUGGGACACGGUCCAGACACCUACGGAAGGGAGCAGUGGGGAAUAUUGCACAAUGGGCGCAAGCCUGAUAAAGCCAUGCCGCGUGUGUGGAGAAGGCCUUCGGGUUGAAAAGCACUUUCAGCGGGGAGACGUUACCCGCAGAGGAAGCACCGGCUAACUCCGUGCCAGCAGCCGCGGUAAUAC
rnacentral:rRNA from 1 species